AUUGAACGCUGGCGGCAGGCCUAACACAUGCAAGUCGAACGCGUGGCGGGCGUGUGAGUAAUGUCUGGAAAACUCCGCUAUGGAGGGGUAUAUCUUCUGGAAGCGAUCUCAUACCUCGCAAACUCUCAUAUGUCCCUAUAGGGUAUUCGCUUGUAGGUGGGGUAACGGCUCACCUAGGCGACGAUCCCUAGCUGGUCUGAGAGGAUGACCAGCCACACUGGAACUGAGACACGGUCCAGACUCCUACGGGAGGCAGCAGUGGGGAAUAUUGCACAAUGGGCGCAAGCCUGAUGCAGCCAUGCCGCGUGUAUGAAGAAGGCCUUAGGGUUGUAAAGUACUGUCAGCGAGGAGGCGUUACUCGCAGAAGAAGCAUCGGCUAACUCCGUGCCAGCAGCCGCGGUAAUAC
rnacentral:rRNA from 1 species